UACGUAGGUGGCAAGCGUUAUCCGGAUUUAUUGGGCGUAAAGGGAACGCAGGCGGUCUUUUAAGUCUGAUGUGAAAGCCUUCGGCUUAACCGGAGUAGUGCAUUGGAAACUGGGAGACUUGAGUGCAGAAGAGGAGAGUGGAACUCCAUGUGUAGCGGUGAAAUGCGUAGAUAUAUGGAAGAACACCAGUGGCGAAAGCGGCUCUCUGGUCUGUAACUGACGCUGAUGCACGAAAGCGUGGGUAUCAAACAGG
rnacentral:rRNA from 1 species